rnacentral:misc_RNA from 1 species
GAAAUGCGAUAAGUAAUGGGAAUUGCAGAAUUCAGGGAAUCAUCGAAUCUGGGAAGGCACAUUGCGCCCGCCAGUAUUCUGGCGGGCAUGCCUGUUCGAGCGUCAUUUCAACCAUCAAGCCCCCGGCUUGUGUUGGGGACCUGCGGCUGCCCGCAGGCCCUGAAAAACAGUGGCGGGCUCGCUGUCACACCGAGCGUAGUAGCAUACAUUCUCGCUCAGGGCGUGCUGCGGGUUCCGGCCGUUAAACGACCUUCAUAACCCAAGGUUGACCUCGGAUCAGGUAGGAAGACCCGCUGAACUUAAGC